CGAAGAUUAUCUUAUCCGGAAAAUUGAUAUUUUCGAUUUAGAGAAUCUCAAAAGCAUUAUCAGAUCGAAGGAGGAAAAACUGCAAUUUGGCUCAGAAAAUAAAACUUCUAGUAAUAAAUUUGUAAAAGUCAAUUAGUUAAGAUUUAUCGUUAAUUAUUCAGAUUAUUUUUAAUUACAUAAUUUUUAGUAUUAUACAAUUGAAUCAGAAAAUGUUUAUAAAAAAUUGAGAAAUUACGAUAAAUAGCAAUGAAAACUUAUUUAAUUAGGUAAAUAGAUAAAGCAUUGUGCAUUUUUCAUUAAUACGAGUGUGCCCCCUAUAUUUAGACGUAAGUGGAGUACUGACACAACCGGUACAUCUCGACUCCUCACAUAUGAAACCAGUUACCUAAAUAAUAAUUUAAAACGGAAUUGAUCGACGAAACCACUGUAGCCUCAAUUACCCGUGCUCUGCAAAUCUUUCUCAACAUUCCAAGUCACCGCUCCUCCUUCUCUGCCACGUCCUUGCUCGCCAAUUCCGUCGCGGCUUUCUUCUUCCACCAUCAACUGAAACCGGAGCCACCAUGGCCGUGGUCUCACGACAAGACCACUUCCACAUUCUACAUCUUCGUUCUCAGCUCUGUGCCGGCUUCUCCCUCCACGACAGGACCACUUCCACAUUCCCCUGCGACGUCUCUGUCUUCCUCGUCGUGUUCGUCGAGAUCCUCAGCCACGACAAUCGCUCAUAACCACUGUGAUUCAAGCUUUGCCGGCGUGGAAAGACCAAUCCUGGGGCUCCAUUCUUCGUCAUGUCUUGCUCCGUCGCGGCCGUCUUCACCGGAUUCAGGCUUUGCCGUCGGUAUCAAAGUGAAGAGGAGGUUCCAAUGGAGAGUAAGAUUCUCAAGUUCUUAGGUUUAUGUGGAAUCCACUCGCGUGAGCCCGGAUCUGUCGUGUUCUUCUCGGCGAUUGAGAUACGAGGAGGCGUCUCUUGGCCGGAGGAGAAUUUGAGGAGGAGAGAGCCCGUAAGAAGUGGAAGUGAGGGAAACGAGAUGGUGAGUGUUGCCUUUUCUAGCCGGAGGAUUGUGAACCAACGGCGUCGGAAAAGAGAACGCUUUGUGGAUCGCUGGAGAUGGGGACUCAGAGGCGAGCUUCAUCGCCGGGGAAGAAGAGAGAGAAGUAGAAGAAGCUGAAGAAGAGGUUUUUGGAGUAGAAGAACCCAUUUUGAGUUGAAUUUAACAAACACUGAGCUUUGAAAGAUUUAGUUUGGUUUCUCUUUCUGGGUUCUUCUGAGAUGUUUGAUUCUCUCUCUCUCGAGUAUAUAUCUCAUUGCUUUUAUGAUUUUUGUUUUAUUAACUCUGUGUUCCUAAUGCAUAAAAACUUCACCUUUGUGAUUCUUGAUUCUCAAUUCUUGUUUGGUUUUGCUCAUCAAA